rnacentral:rRNA from 1 species
UAAAAACCCCGACUUCGGAAGGGGUGUAUUUAUUAGAUACAAAACCAAUGCCCUUCGGGGCUCUUUGGUGAUUCAUGAUAACUAUACGAAUCGCACGGCCUUGCGCCGGCGAUGGUUCAUUCAAAUUUCUUCCCUAUCAACUUUCGAUGUUUGGGUAUUGGCCAAACAUGGUUGCAACGGGUAACGGAGGGUUAGGGCUCGACCCCGGAGAAGGAGCCUGAGAAACGGCUACUACAUCCAAGGAAGGCAGCAGGCGCGCAAAUUACCCAAUCCCGACUCGGGGAGGUAGUGACAAUAAAUACUGAUACAGGGCCCUUUCGGGCCUUGUAAUUGGAAUGAGUACAAUUUAAAUCCCUUAACGAGGAACAAUUGGAGGGCAAGUCUGGUGCCAGCAGCCGCGGUAAUUCCAGCUCCAAUAGCGUAUACUAAAGUUGUUGUGGCUAAAAAGCUCGUAGUUGAACCUUGGGCCUGGCUGGCCGGUCCGCCUCACCGCGUGCACUGGUCCGGCCGGGCCUUUCCCUCUGUGGAACCCCAUACCCUUCACUGGGCGUGGCGGGGAAACAGGACAUUUACUUU